CAUUGAAACUUUUUAUUUCCUCUUCUUUCAUCUUAGAAACUUUUUUUUUUUUUAAACUGCACCAGAAAUAUGUGGGUUUGCCAUUUCAGGGAUCAAUGACAUUCAGGGAUGUGGCCGUAGCCUUCUCUCAGCAGAAGUGGGAGAGUCUGAAUUCUGCUCAGAGGGACUUAUGCAGAGAUGUGAUGUUGGAAACUGUAGUAACUUGGUCUCACUGGCACCCUGUUUCAUUUGGAGGUUCCACCGAGAUUCUAUGACCACCCAAGAUUCGGAGGCUGAAGCGGAACAGCUAGGGGAGAGCUCUGAGAGACGUUCCUCGGCCCCGGCCUUCUGUUCUCAGACCUGGCUUAAAAGUAAGGUCUUACUGACUUCCGAGGAAAGGGCCCGAGUGCUCCGGGAAGCAACGAGAGCAGUCCUUGGCCCGGAUGGAAUGCCUACCACAGACCUUCGCAGAAUUGAGCAUGUUUUCCCUUCUGCACCGCCCCAGUGGGACCCUAACACGGAUAAUGUCCUUGCAGGCUCUACAAAGUACACUUCCAGCCAUCCAUAACCUAGUAAAAGAAAGCCGGAAAGAACCGCCCUCUACAGUCGAACCAUCAGACCAAGGACUCGGACCUGGAGAUUGGAUCUGGGUGCAACGUCACACCUCCCCAAAUUUAGAGGCACGCUGGGUUGGGCCCUAUCCGAUCAUCCUGUCCACCCCAUCCGCUGUGACAGUUGCUGGCCGGAGCCACAGGAUGCAUCGCUCUCAAAUUAAAGCAGCACACCCUGACCACGUUCCUCUACAAUGGACUGUCAAACGGACUGAAAAUCCUUUGGAGGUCCGGCUGGUAAGAGAAUCUGCUGGGUGAAGGAGGAAAAGAACACCUAGGUUUCAUUCCCCAGUCUCGAUUUCUGAGGGAACCCAUUUCUCCUAUCCUAGUGCCCCUCUUUGUAGGACUGGGGGUUGCAGGAUCCAUUGGCGUAAGUACUGCCGCUUUCAUCACAGGGGAUCAGAACUUCAAAUUACUAAGCAAACAAAUUGAUCAGGAUAUAUCAGAAUUAGAAAGGAAUAUUGAUAAACUGUCUGAAUCUGUAAACUCUUUAGCAGAGGUGGUACUUCAGAAUCGGAGGGGCUUAGACCUGUUAUUUUUACAACAAGGAGGGCUUUGUGUGGCCCUUGGGGAACAGUGCUGUUUUUAUGUCAAUAAUUCAGGAAUCAUCAAGUAGACCUUGAGUCAGGUCAGACAACGAUUAGAGGAAAGAGAAAGACAAAGACAAUCAAAAUUGGUAUGAGU